rnacentral:rRNA from 1 species
CCUACGGGGGGCAGCAGUGAGGAAUAUUGGUCAAUGGACGAGAGUCUGAACCAGCCAAGUAGCGUGAAGGAUGACUGCCCUAUGGGUUGUAAACUUCUUUUAUAUGGGAAUAAAAUGUUCCACGUGUGGGAUUUUGUAUGUACCAUAUGAAUAAGGAUCGGCUAACUCCGUGCCAGCAGCCGCGGUAAUACGGAGGAUCCGAGCGUUAUCCGGAUUUAUUGGGUUUAAAGGGAGCGUAGGUGGAUUGUUAAGUCAGUUGUGAAAGUUUGCGGCUCAACCGUAAAAUUGCAGUUGAAACUGGCAGUCUUGAGUACAGUAGAGGUGUGAGGAAUUCGUGGUGUAGCGGUGAAAUGCUUAGAUAUCACGAAGAACUCCGAUUGCGAAGGCAGUUCACUGGACUGCAACUGACACUGAGGCUCGAAAGUGUGGGUAUCAAACAGGAUUAGAUACCCUUGUAGUC